UUUCUUUUGUAUAUGUACAAAAGAAAGGGGGAAAAAAUGGACUCUUUGUGUUAGUGAUGGAUAGUAGAUGUUGUUUUCGUGUGUAUGUGUUGCAGGCCUGAUGGAUGCAGAAGGCUGUAGAUUAGCUCUGAUCUCUUUAACACCUGUGGAGGCGAUUCUCAUUUUCAUACAACACCUGAGACUCGAGCGCACACCUGCAAUCUGGACAGAGUGAUUGUUAAGCGCACCCACACACAUUCUAAUGAACAGAUCAAAGCGAGUUCUGAACCCUGAACCCCGCUGACUCAUUUUCUGGCGUCUUGCGGAAAACAGCCGUCCUCGCUCCGAACGAGCAGCGGCACGCUCUUCAUCUCUUAAAUGUCACCCAGCGCACAGGCUAAUUCAGUCACACCUCUCCCAAACACAGAAACAAACUAGGCCUCAUCUGGAGAAACAGACAGACAGACAGAGUGUGUGUGUGAGAGAGAGAGAGCGAGAGAGAUCUCAAACCUGAUUAAAAUUAUACUCCGCCAACACAAGUCUGGGUAAACAUGGUGAUUUGCGCAGAGAGUGAUAGGCUGUCUUUAGUAAUUGUGCGCUUUGCUUUGAUGUUCAGAGUCGGUUUUAUUAUCUCCUCUGCCGUGGCAUAAAGGAAGAUGACAGGAAGUAAAAAGGAGUGUUUUAUCAAACAUUAACAAAGGCGUCUGCCAUCACAAAAAGGUCAACUCACAAUAAAUAAAGUGUGGCCUGUCCAUUUUGUUGAUUUUAUACACUACUGUCCAAACGUUUGAGCUCUCCACUCACACACUCUCCAUCAACACUGCGUUGGAGUCGCCAGAAACAGCAAGGACUGCUGAGGCUGCACGCCGUCUGUCGAGUCAUUUACAGAAGGAGCGAGAGUGCACUGCUUUUCAUCAUUCUGCUGGGAAACAAAGGCGUUUCCAAGGUACCAGUUUGCAGCAAUGAACAUUUCCAUGGAAGAACAGGAUACUACAUUCACCAAAAUGUUCAAGCUUCGGUGAUGGUUGGGAGCCGCAGUGGUGCAUAAGCACAGACACACACACAUGAACAGUGGGGAAGGCUGGGAGGUGUGCGGGUUUUGCCCUGCAUUAACACAAAACUAAAUUAAUGAAUAGCAGGAUUUUUCACCCUCGAUGGCCUUCUCUACAUACUAAUUAUUUAGGCCUCAUCCUGAGAGCCUCGGCGCGCCUG